GAUGAACGCUGGCGGCGUGCCUAAUACAUGCAAGUCGAGCGAACGGACGAUAAGCUUGCUUCUCUGAUGUUAGCGGCGGACGGGUGAGUAACACGUGGAUAACCUACCUAUCAGACUUGGAUAACUUCGGGAAUCCGGCGCUAAUACCGGAUAAUAUUUUGCACCGCAUGGUUCAAAAGUGAAAGACGGUCUUGCUGUCACUUAUCGAUGGAUCCGCGCUGCAUUAGCUAGUUGGUAAGGUAACGGCUUACCAAGGCAACGAUGCAUAGCCGACCUGAGAGGGUGAUCGGCCACACUGGAACUGAGACACGGUCCAGACGACUAAGGGAGGCAGCAGUAGGGAAUCUGACGCAAUGGGCGAAAGCAUGACGGAGCAACGCCGCGUGAGUGAUGAAGGUCUUCGGAUCGUAAAACUCUGUUAUGAGGGAAGAACAGAUGUGGAAGUAACUGUGCACAUCUUGACGGUACCUAAUCAGAAAGCCACGGCUAACUACGUG
rnacentral:rRNA from 1 species